UGGCCAAACUACCCUUCGGAACACAAUACCCUCGGGAAACUGAGGCUAAUAGUGUAUACCACACUCACUCUGGAAUGACAAGUGUGCCAAACGCUCCGGCGCCGAAGGAUGUGGCUGCGGCCGAUUAGGUAGACGGUGGGGUAACGGCCCACCGUGCCGAUAUCGGUACGGGUGGUGAGAGCCAGAACCCGGAGACGGAAUCUGAGACAAGAUUCCGGGCCCUACGGGGCGCAGCAGGCGCGAAACCUUUACACUGCACGACAGUGCGAUAAGGGGAUCCCAAGUGCGCAGGCAUAGAGCCUGCGCUUUUGUACACCCUAGGGAGGUGCACGAAUAAGGGCUGGGCAAGACCGGUGCCAGCCGCCGCGGUAAUACCGGCAGCCCAAGUGAUGGCCGAUCUUAUUGGGCCUAAAGCGUCCGUAGCUGGCCGCGCAAGUCCAUCGGGAAAUCCACCUGCUCAACAGGUGGACGUCCGGUGGAAACUGCACGGCUUGGGACCGGAAGGCGCGACGGGUACGUCCGGGGUAGGAGUGAAAUCCCGUAAUCCUGGACGGACCGCCGAUGGCGAAAGCACGUCGCGAAAACGGAUCCGACAGUGAGGGACGAAAGCUAGGGUCUCGAACCGGAUUAGAUACCCGGGUAGUCCUAGCCGUAAACAAUGCCUGCUAGGUGUGGCUCCCACUACGAGUGGGUGCUGUGCCGUAGGGAAGCCGCUAAGCAGGCCGCCUGGGAAGUACGUCCGCAAGGAUGAAACUUAAAGGAAUUGGCGGGGGAGCACUACAACCGGAGGAGCCUGCGGUUUAAUUGGACUCAACGCCGGACAUCUCACCAGCAUCGACUGUGGUAAUGACGGUCAGGUUGAUGACCUCGCCACGAGCCACAGAGAGGAGGUGCAUGGCCGCCGUCAGCUCGUACCGUGAGGCGUCCUGUUAAGUCAGGCAACGAGCGAGACCCGCAUCCGUACUUGCCAGCAGCACUGCGAAGUGGCUGGGGACAGUACGGAGACUGCCGUGGCCAACACGGAGGAAGGAACGGGCAACGGUAGGUCAGUAUGCCCCGAAUGUGCUGGGCAACACGCGGGCUACAAUGGUCGAGACAAAGGGUUCCUACUCCGAAAGGAGACGGUAAUCUCAGAAACUCGAUCGUAGUUCGGAUUGUGGGCUGCAACUCGCCCACAUGAAGCUGGAUUCGGUAGUAAUCGCGUGUCACAAGCGCGCGGUGAAUACGUCCCUGCUCCUUGCACACACCGCCCGUCAAAGCA
rnacentral:rRNA from 1 species